rnacentral:rRNA from 1 species
UACGGAGGGUGCGAGCGUUGUCCGGAAUCACUGGGCGUAAAGGGCGCGUAGGCGGCCUGAUAAGUAGGGGGUGAAAUCCUGAGGCUUAACCUCAGGGCUGCCUUCUAAACUGUCAGGCUCGAGCACAGUAGAGGCAGGUGGAAUUCCCGGUGUAGCGGUGGAAUGCGUAGAGAUCGGGAAGAACACCCGUGGCGAAGGCGGUUCUCUGGGACGGUACUGACGCUGAGACGCGAAAGCGUGGGGAGCGAACAGG